GAUGAACGCUGGCGGCGUGCCUAAUACAUGCAAGUCGAGCGAACGGACGAGAAGCUUGCUUCUCUGAUGUUAGCGGCGGACGGGUGAGUAACACGUGGAUAACCUACCUAUAAGACUGGGAUAACUUCGGGAAACCGGAGCUAAUACCGGAUAAUAUUUUGAACCGCAUGGUUCAAAAGUGAAAGACGGUCUUGCUGUCACUUAUAGAUGGAUCCGCGCUGCAUUAGCUAGUUGGUAAGGUAACGGCUUACCAAGGCAACGAUGCAUAGCCGACCUGAGAGGGUGAUCGGCCACACUGGAACUGAGACACGGUCCAGACUCCUACGGGAGGCAGUAGUAGGGAAUCUUCCGCAAUGGGCGAAAGCCUGACGGAGCAACGCCGCGUGAGUGAUGAAGGUCUUCGGAUCGUAAAACUCUGUUAUUAGGGAAGAACAUAUGUGUAAGUAACUGUGCACAUCUUGACGGUACCUAAUCAGAAAGCCACGGUUAACUACGUG
rnacentral:rRNA from 1 species